GACGUAGGGCGCAAGCGUUGUCCGGAUUUAUUGGGCGUAAAGAGCUCGUAGGCGGCUUGUUGCGUCGUCCGUGAAAACCCGCAGCUCAACUGCGGGCUUGCGGACGAUACGGGCAGGCUGGAGUUCGGUAGGGGAGACUGGAAUUCCUGGUGUAGCGGUGAAAUGCGCAGAUAUCAGGAGGAACACCGGUGGCGAAGGCGGGUCUCUGGGCCGAUACUGACGCUGAGGAGCGAAGGCGUGGGGAGCGAACAGG
rnacentral:rRNA from 1 species